rnacentral:lncRNA from 1 species
UUCCCGCUUGAACAUAGUUUGUUUUCAUUAAAUUAUCUCCCUUUGAAAGUCACCUAUGCGUUUGUAAGCAAUGUCGCAAUAUGAAAUGUUUUCAUCCUGUUGACUUCAACCCAAAAGUGCUAGCGUGUACACUUGAUGAAAUGACAAUAUUUAAGAAUAGAUAAACUCCUAAAUAAUAGUAUUUAUCAAAAACUUCUACUCGGAUACUGUCAAAUGUUCAAUGUGUUUAUUAGACGUAAUGACAACAGAAAGUCACAGCAUAUUUCACACGGGUCACCCGAAAAUACCGUUUAAUUUACUUCUUCUAAUUAUUUAUAGAGGCGAGUAGAAGUUUUUAGUUACUUUAUUACACAACCUGUCUAUUGCACCCUUUACGCAGGAAAACAAACCAGUCUACACACUAGCACUUUUGAGUUUAAAGUUUACACUGUUAUAAAUAGAAUUUUUGAUGUCACGUGAUAAAAACAAUAUUUUUAGAAUUUUUUUUGGUGGAAAAUGAAAGUAGACAUAUAUUUCAUUAAACGUUAUAUAAAGAUGGCAUGCUACGCAUCUGCAUUACAUUUUAAAGUGACCGAUUUGCAAAGGCAUUUUUUUGCGUCAGUUUCUUAUGAUUUUUGAGAAUACAGCAUUAACCUACCCGCGUAGUUUUCUUCCAUAUCCAGAAAUCAACGCCACUUUGCUUAUUUGAAUAUAAUACUAAAGAAAUCGGAUACGGGUCACGGAAAUUACAUUAAAAUGAUAGGGAAUUUUGAAAAAAUGUCUGUUUUAAUUUUAAUUUAAGUGAUAGACAGGUUGCCGGGGCAGAAAAUGAAUAUACACAACAAUAUACACCAUUUAAACGAAACAUAAUGACUGUUGUUGCAAAAAUACAGGUUCCUGAGCUAUUUUAAAAAUCGAAGCGAGAGGCCUUUUACAUUGCAGUGUAAAAUACAGGCAAAAAUGGCUGAAACGUCAAAUUUGCAAACUUCGUGUUGAAAAUUGGCUUACAAGGUCAUUACAAAAACAGGUUGCCGGGGUGAAAUAUGAAACUUGAAUUUCCAAAGAAUAAGCAAGUCCAAACCUUGUAUGUGUAGUCGUUGAACUCUAGGUUCCCACGUAAAAUUAAAAUGUCACUAUUUCAAGAAGAAUAAACUCACGAAAGCACGAAAAAUUC